rnacentral:rRNA from 1 species
UACCAGCACCCCGAGUGGCCGGGACGUUUAUUGGGCCUAAAGCAUCCGUAGCCGGUUCUACAAGUCUUCCGUUAAAUCCACCUGCUUAACAGAUGGGCUGCGGAAGAUACUAUAGAGCUAGGAGGCGGGAGAGGCAAGCGGUACUCGAUGGGUAGGGGUAAAAUCCGUUGAUCCAUUGAAGACCACCAGUGGCGAAGGCGGCUUGCCAGAACGCGCUCGACGGUGAGGGAUGAAAGCUGGGGGAGCAAACCGGAUUAGAUACCCGGGUAGUCCCAGCUGUAAACGAUGCAGACUCGGUGAUGAGUUGGCUUAUUGCUAACUCAGUGCCGCAGGGAAGCCGUUAAGUUUGCCGCCUGGGGAUACGGUCGCAAGACUGAAACUUAAAGGAAUUGGCGGGGAGCACCACAAGGGGUGAAGCCUGCGGUUC